rnacentral:rRNA from 1 species
CAUGCAAGUCGAGCGGUAACAGGGGUAGCUUGCUACCCGCUGACGAGCGGCGGACGGGUGAGUAAUGCAUAGGAAUCUGCCCAGUAGUGGGGGAUAGCCCGGGGAAACCCGGAUUAAUACCGCAUACGCCCUACGGGGGAAAGCAGGGGAUCUUCGGACCUUGCGCUAUUGGAUGAGCCUAUGUCGGAUUAGCUAGUUGGUGAGGUAAGAGCUCACCAAGGCCACGAUCCGUAGCUGGUUUGAGAGGAUGAUCAGCCACAUCGGGACUGAGACACGGCCCGAACUCCUACGGGAGGCAGCAGUGGGGAAUAUUGGACAAUGGGGGCAACCCUGAUCCAGCCAUGCCGCGUGUGUGAAGAAGGCUUUCGGGUUGUAAAGCACUUUCAGUGAGGAGGAAAACCUUACGACUAAUACUCGUGAGGCUUGACGUUACUCACAGAAGAAGCACCGGCUAACUCCGUGCCAGCAGCCGCGGUAAUACGGAGGGUGCAAGCGUUAAUCGGAAUUACUGGGCGUAAAGCGCGCGUAGGUGGUUCGAUAAGCGGGAUGUGAAAGCCCCGGGCUUAACCUGGGAACGGCAUUCCGAACUGUCGGGCUAGAGUAUGGUAGAGGGUAGUGGAAUUUCCUGUGUAGCGGUGAAAUGCGUAGAUAUAGGAAGGAACACCAGUGGCGAAGGCGGCUACCUGGACCAAUACUGACACUGAGGUGCGAAAGCGUGGGUAGCAAACAGGAUUAGAUACCCUGGUAGUCCACGCCGUAAACGAUGUCAACUAGCCGUUGGGACUCUUGAAGUCUUAGUGGCGCAGCUAACGCACUAAGUUGACCGCCUGGGGAGUACGGCCGCAAGGUUAAAACUCAAAUGAAUUGACGGGGGCCCGCACAAGCGGUGGAGCAUGUGGUUUAAUUCGACGCAACGCGAAGAACCUUACCUGGGCCUUGACAUCCAGAGACUUUUCAGAGAUGGGAUUGGUGCUUCGGGACUCUGUGACAGUGCUGCAUGGCCGUCGUCAGCUCGUGUCGUGAGAUG